GACGAACGCUGGCGGCGUGCUUAACACAUGCAAGUCGAACGGAAAGGCCCUGCUUUUGUGGGGUGCUCGAGUGGCGAACGGGUGAGUAACACGUGAGUAACCUGCCCUUGACUUUGGGAUAACUUCAGGAAACUGGGGCUAAUACCGGAUAGGAGCUCCUGCUGCAUGGUGGGGGUUGGAAAGUUUCGGCGGUUGGGGAUGGACUCGCGGCUUAUCAGCUUGUUGGUGGGGUAGUGGCUUACCAAGGCUUUGACGGGUAGCCGGCCUGAGAGGGUGACCGGCCACAUUGGGACUGAGAUACGGCCCAGACUCCUACGGGAGGCAGCAGUGGGGAAUAUUGCACAAUGGGCGGAAGCCUGAUGCAGCAACGCCGCGUGCGGGAUGACGGCCUUCGGGUUGUAAACCGCUUUCGCCUGUGACGAAGCGUGAGUGACGGUAAUGGGUAAAGAAGCACCGGCUAACUACGUGCCAGCAGCCGCGGUGAUACGUAGGGUGCGAGCGUUGUCCGGAUUUAUUGGGCGUAAAGGGCUCGUAGGUGGUUGAUCGCGUCGGAAGUGUAAUCUUGGGGCUUAACCCUGAGCGUGCUUUCGAUACGGGUUGACUUGAGGAAGGUAGGGGAGAAUGGAAUUCCUGGUGGAGCGGUGGAAUGCGCAGAUAUCAGGAGGAACACCAGUGGCGAAGGCGGUUCUCUGGGCCUUUCCUGACGCUGAGGAGCGAAAGCGUGGGGAGCGAACAGGCUUAGAUACCCUGGUAGUCCACGCUGUAAACGGUGGGUACUAGGUGUGGGGUCCAUUCCACGGGUUCCGUGCCGUAGCUAACGCUUUAAGUACCCCGCCUGGGGAGUACGGCCGCAAGGCUAAAACUCGAAGGAAUUGACGGGGCCCCGCACAAGCGGCGGAGCAUGCGGAUUAAUUCGAUGCAACGCGUAGAACCUUACCUGGGUUUGACAUGGAUCGGGAGUGCUCAGAGAUGGGUGUGCCUCUUUUGGGGUCGGUUCACAGGUGGUGCAUGCCUGUCGUCAGCUCGUGUCGUGAGCUGUUGGGUUAAGUCCCGCAACGAGCGCAACCCUUGUUCACUGUUGCCAGCACGUUAUGGUGGGGACUCAGUGGAGACCGCCGGGGUCAACUCGGAGGAAGGUGGGGAUGACGUCAAGUCAUCAUGCCCCUUAUGUCCAGGGCUUCACGCAUGCUACAAUGGCUGGUACAGAGAGUGGCGAGCCUGUGAGGGUGAGCGAAUCUCGGAAAGCCGGUCUCAGUUCGGAUUGGGGUCUGCAACUCGACCUCAUGAAGUCGGAGUCGCUAGUAAUCGCAGAUCAGCAACGCUGCGGUGAAUACGUUCCCGGGGC
rnacentral:rRNA from 1 species